ACAUGGCUUCAAUCCGCCAGCUGUAGCUUCAAUUAGACCCCUAGCCUUGGAACUUCGAUAUGCCACCAAUGUGGCCCUAAAAAGCAAAAUAAAUAAAUAAAAUUAACACUCGCUAUCAAUUACAAAUGAGAUGGACAAUCUAGAGGAUGGUUCUUAUGCAUGAAACCAGUGGGAGACAUGCCAGCCAAUUCCCAGGCCUUGGUUCUCUUAGCUGUGUAAGAGCCCAGAGCAGGAACAAUUACUUUGAUGACCUCGUGGAGUACAGACUGAAGGGAAUGUCUGAAAUAAGCACUGAGGGUUGACACGAAGAGGAAAGGGACAAAGGUAAACACUGUGUUUAAGUGGACAGGAAGGUAAAGGCAGGGAAAAUUCAAGCCCCUGUUCCAGGUUCGAGGAAGUGGCCGUUAAUCAGUGACUACAUUUCCCAUAGUCCUUAGGCGAGCAUAUCUUCAUUUCCCAGAGGGCUGUGCGAUGCUUGAGCGGGCCCUAAGCGCCCGCAGAAACUAGACAGAAGAGAAUAUUCGCUUUAUGUUGCUUUAUAGCCAAAUUUCCCACGCUCCUCUCUUCUAUCCCUCUUCUCUGUCUACAGCUCCUCUCUUCACCGGCUUCAGGGGCCCGGAUAGCCUGGGUCUGGUCUCCUUGGCAACAACUCGACGUUACCCUUUUGGGUCUUCACGAAAGGAAGCGGAGUGUGCACGGGGAUUCCUGGGAAAUGUAGUUCGGCCUCCCUGGGGCCGGACCCCGGCCCGGCCUAAUAGGUCGGCUUCCUUGGGCCCCAGAAGCAAGGACUGGGUGGCGGGAGCGCGUGGCCAGCCCGUUUGGAAGCCGUGGGGGUGGAGGCUGUUCUGACUACGAGCACCCGAAGGCCCAGGCCAGUUGGCAGUCGCUAAGCCGACGAGCCCGGCCCGUCUCCGUAGUAACUGGCUGGCCGCAGAGGGCUCUGGGAAGUGUAGUUGGACCGCGCCGCCGGUGUCCGAGGUCCGCGCCGCUGCCGUUACCGCUCGCCGCGGCGCUCAGAGCGGUUUUGCAGCGUGCGGCCGAGCUCCUCCAGCGUUGCCUCGGCCUCGGAGCACCCAGGCAGAACAUUUCUGAAAUAUAAAGAUGUUCAUGAGGAGUUUCUCUGAAAUUAGCCCUCCGGCUGCACAAGCGAGCCGCCCCGGGGACUUCUCCAGGCAAGAAUGACAACAGGGCUGUGUCCUCAACCCCUCGAUUCAGUACCUUAGACCAGCAUCAGGGAACCUCCCACAGGGGAGGCCAAUCAGCUGCCCUGCCCCAAAGAAGAGUUUUUAGCAGGAGAGAGAAGAAAGAAGCCACAAAGUGACAAGAGUGACCAGAACUGCGGGCCAGACAGAUUUCAGACUCUGAGGAAGAACCACAUCUUGUCCUUUGUGCUCUUCGCGGCACCUCUGAACAUCGAGGGACAUGGGACGGCUUGGGAACUGGUGACUGUAUGUGGCCGUGGACACCACGCUGAGCGCAGACUGUGGUUCAAGGCGGUGGCGGGUGGCGAUGCGUUACCUGUGAGGUCGCAGCCUGCCUUCCCUGGGCUGGCCGUCAGCCCUUCUCUCCCAAGUCACGCGGGAGGAAGGUGAUUUCGUCCCGACUGCCACCCUGCCCCCCCUACGCCCCCACCCCCACUGGCAGCCAGAUUAGCCCGGAUGUCCGUAAGGUGGCAGAUGCUUAGUCCCGUUGCCUGGGUUCUACCUGAGAGGUACUGCUGGCCGCCAUGCGCUGCACUAACCCUGCAAGUGCCCUUGAACCCUCUGGUCCUUCCUGACCUUCUUAUGCCUUAAGAAGGGGGAGGCAGGGAACAAGCAAGGCGUCAGGAUGUUGGAGAGGCAGCCGGUGUCCUGGUUAAGGAGGGCCGGCUUGGGGGCACCCUCAGCAGGAACCUGGAACUCUUUGAGAGCAAGGUCUAUGUCUGAAACAUCUCUAUUUUCAAGUGCCUCGCUCCAUGCCUGGCACGUAGUAGGUAUUUGCCUGGCACAGAGUAGGUGAGCAGCGCUUCUGUAGUGAGCAGCAACCCAGGAGUGCGAGGAAGUGACUGGGAGAACUGAUGUUAACAACUGGGCUGAAAGGUUCCCCCCCGGGCCGCCCCCCAGGGGUACACCAUCCUCUUGGUGUAUGUCGGAAUUCUGAGUCAAGCACAAAAUGCAGACACCCCUUGUCUUUUGUUAGCUGCAGACUCUCUCUCUCCCCUGCAAAAAAGGGGACUACUUCUGUCUGUCCAUCCAGGGACUUUUAUGGCCUCGGCGCUCUGAUCUAAAUUUCUUUAAAAGCCAGUGAGUUAGAAAUGUUCAUGGUGGGAUCCUAAGAGCUGGUCCUGGGUUGGGCACUGCCCAGAAGAACUGCAUGUCCUCAGCAUCCAAGGCUGUCUCUGAUCAGCUGUACUUAAGCCUGGUGAAGAUGUGAGCAGAUCGUCGCGCGUUGAGGAGAGAAAGAAAGGGAGGGCCCGGACCAGCCGCCUCGCUGUCUGCUUACCAAAGGCUCACCGCUCCCGAGGUCGUCCCUGGGCAGGAGGCCAGCUGGUCACUGGGUUUGGGGGCUCCUGUCUUGGAAGCUUCUAGCUGGCACGUCCUGGGUCUCUAGCGGACCCUCUCAGAUACUCUUCCCACGACAACCCCGAGACCAAACGAGUCAGACAUGAUUAAAGAGGCAGAGGAGGCUGAGAUGGCUAAUCCAGGGAAGGCUCCUGGGAGAGCAAGGACUGGACGGCUGGGGGCCUCUCAGCGCGGCACUGCUGGGGAGCUGGCACCGGCGGUUCCAGACAAACUGUCCCAAAGGCUUCUGGGAAGUGGCUCCAGCAACUAGAAGGAAAGCUGUAAAGCACUUUAUGGUGUGCGAAGUGACCCCCCCACCCCCACUCCCCACCCUGGAGGACCCCGAGAGAAGCACCACGAGGCUCUUCUGACGGGCGCUGGCGAGCUGGCCAUCCUUGCAGGGGCUCGGCCCCACUCCCGGGGGCGUGAGACUGAGGACGACGGCACUGACCACCGAGCGUUCCGUGCUUCACACGCAGCAUCUCAUUUAAUCCCCCCAUCGAGCCUUGAAACGGGCCGUUUCUAUCCUCACAUUACAAAUGAAGAAACUAAGACAUGGAGAGGCCAAAUAACUUGCCCAAGGUCAUGCAACUAAGAAGUAGGGGAAUAGGAUUCAAAGCCAGGUCUGCCCAACAGCUGGGCUUUUGAAAGUGCUCGUUCUCCCACUGCGGGAUUUUUUGCAUUCCCUGUGCUGGGAUAACCAGCCCAUCUCCUGUCCCCCGUUACAUGGUUUUCUUGAAACAGUUCUGCUUCUCCAGUCUCUCCUGUGGCCCAUUAAAGCCACAAACUGGUUUCUAGGAGAACACGUCGAGUCGGUGCUGAGUGCUUCCCACCCCAUUAAAGCCGUGUUCACGACAAAUGCCCAGCUUCCUACUAGCAGUCACUGGACUUUCUGCUUCGGGAACCUGGGGAGAUCUGUGCUUAGGCUCUCAGUUCUGAAGAUAGGGUAAUAACAGGUGGAGCAAAGCAAGGACAUCUUAUUUCUGUUCCACCCUGACUGGACCUCAAACAGAGUUACCUGAAGAGCUGGAUUUGGCUGGGCUGGUUCAACUGUCGCCUUAGCUCAAGGGUUCUGUCUGCCAGCCAGACUCCCCUCCCGUCCUCCAUGGGGCAUCCACUGAAAGGGGGAUGAAGUAUCCAAACUGGCUUUUUCACUCCUGGGUCUGGCGCCCCGGCGCUCUCCUAGGCGGCGUCUCGGUGGAGCGGCCUCAUCUUACAGUGUUGCCCUGGGCUCCCAGAACCCACUGUCCGUUCCCUUCUCCACUCCUUUCUGCCCCCCACCCCGCAGCCGCUUCUGUGGGGAAGGGUCUCAUUCAGCCCCCGCUGCCAGGUGGCUGUGCUGUAUCUCGUGACCCUGCUCUGCCCCCCCUACACACACACAUACAGGUCACUGGACCAGGAUCUAUAUAGGCUGGCCAACAACUUUUGAAGUCCCCUGGCUCAGAAAUAUAAAGAAAGCCAGUGAGACCAGUCAGAUUCCCCUUUUAGGAAACAUGAACCCCCACAUCAGACCAUACGGGCAGUGUGUGACAAGAGGUGGCGAGAACAGGAAGGAGCCUGGAGGGACUGAUGUGUUGGCCAGAAUUACAGCGAGGAAGAAAGCUGGAGAUUAAAAAAAAAGCAAAACAAGCUGUGACACAGAAAAAAUGCACUUCUAGCGUCUUUUGGUGAAAAGAUAAAGGAAGGAAUGACCAGAAGGGAGCUGGGACUCUGAAAGGCAGAGAGACAGGCUGGCCCUGGAGCCACCCUGGGGCCCACUAGACCUGCUCUGCCCCAGUGGGUGUCACUGCAGUGAGCUCAUUACUUACUCCCUUUGCUGACUGUUGGCUUAGACGUGAGUGGGCACGUGACUUAGUUCUGCCAACAAAACUUACAGAGAAAUGGCCGGGGAACAUUCUGGGAAGAAGUUUGCUUUCUGAUCAAAAGAGGCAGAGAGACUGAAGAGGCCCAUCCCUUCGUCCUGCUUUGAACAUGGAUGUUUGAGAUGUGAUAGCUGGAGCUGGAGCAGCCAUCUUGAGACCAUGAGGCAAAAAGACCAAGCAAAAAAGCCAAUACACCAAGAUGGGCCAAGCAACAGAUUAAAAAAAGCCUGGGUCCUUGAUGAUAGCGUUGAGCCAUUAUACCUAUCCUGGAAUCACGUACUUCCAGUCUUAAUGAUCUAUCAAUUAAAUGUCUUUUAUUUUCUAAGCAGAUUUCUGCUAUUCGCAGCCUGAGGCCUUCUUCACCAGUGCAGCGCUCCUCUGAACUUCUCCGUCAGCAAUUCCCUAGAGCCCCACGGCUCUUGGUGUAGCUCCACAUGGAAAAUCAGCCCAAGUUUAUACACUGGAAAUCUGACUCAUACAGUAAGAAGUAAAAGUCAAGAUUUGUCACAGCCCACAGAGGCGAGCAACUCUAGCACUUAGUUCCAGUUCCUGGGGCCUAAAGGGCACCAAUGAAAGAAAGAUUCGGGAAUGUUCUAGACAUAUGAGCCCGAGUCUUCUAAAAUGGGGCACAAUAAUGAAUUUUAGAACAAAGCAGUGCGAUGGGGUGGGAGGUAUUUAUCCCUGGGAGGCGGAGCCUAAGCUCAGGCCAGAAGGCCAUGGAACGCAUGGGGUGGGGGAAGCAUUAAGUUGGAAUGAGCAAAGGGUGGGUGGGGUGGAUGAACCCUGGAGAAGGCCAGUGUCACAGAGCAGGAUGUUAGGGAGCCCCAGGUGCCAGCUGGAAGAAAUGUAGGGCAGUGAAACUACGUGGGUGGAAACCUAGGCCUUUCCGUUGCUCUCCAGCCAGCCUUGGGGACAUUUGAUAUCCUCUGAGGAGGGAGACGCCCUCAACGGCAGCUACUCCCCAUGUUCCUCACUCUGUCCAGUCUCCACCUGCCCCUUUUUGCUCUACCUUUGCUUUCUGUCUCCUCUGACCAAAGCCGGGAGCCAGAAACACCCAGGACCUGAGUCCCUUCUCCCUCAACUGGAAAGGAGAUGUCGUGGCAAACAAGGGUGUCUUUUAGGAGACUCCGAAUCCUAGGCCGGGGAGAAGGCCUUCAGCUGUGGGCAGAGAAUGCUGGCGGUUGACAAGGACCAGAUUAUGCCUUCUUCGGAUCCACCCUGUAUCAAGCAGUGUGUGGUUCAUGUUGUUUGAACACCAGAAAAUGUGCCUGACCCUUCCCUUAUGAAAUGAGAGGCUGAACUCAGAACUCUAGCCCUUCCUCUCUAAAUUUCUAGUUUUAGAAGACAAAGAGAACCUGGCAUCGUCCUAAUGUACCCUUCAGAUGACAUAUUAUUCCACUACAUACAGAACUUGAGAAAAAUCAAAAGCCCGUUUCCCAUCUCGAAAGAGUCUUCAGCAGUAAAGACGCAUGGCCCGCAGGAGUUCACCCAGUAAAUGGGGCCCCCCCGAACAGAGAUGUGUUGCAAUCACAGCAGAAUUUGCACCCUCCAGCUGCUGGGGGUAAGCCACACACCGUCCUUAUGGAGUCCUGCCCCCGGGCCCAAACGAGGCUCUGUUAUUAUUACUUCAUUCAUUCAGCAGACAUGGACUGAAUACCCCUGGAAGAAGAAUUUAAGCUUAUAAAAGCAAGGUUAAUAUAAGGAAGCUAAAACAUUAGAGAUUUAAAAAAAAAAAAAUCCUCUGAGAUGAUCGGAGAAAAGAAUGAAAGCUUUGGUUGCAGUGGAAGAAGCAAAAUGUUGAAACCCCUACUUAAUGCAAUUAAUGCUUCAGUGUGAUACUUAAUCAACCCCUGAACUCUCCCCACCCCCUAAAGUUUCCCCAUAUGUCACUAAGGAUGCUCUGAAACCCAACAGGGAAGAGAACUGAAGGCUUUUCCUCCUUCUCCCUAAUGAAGGUUUUUCUCCAGAAUGAAUGAGCCUGAUUACUGACUAAAGGCCCUCCUGCGGUCUUUACGCCCAGGGUGCUGCUUUCCUGAGAGUUCUCCAAAGACGAGAGAAGGGGCUCCGCUCUCCCCAGAUGGCGCCACGCGGCUCUGACGCACUGGCUUCUCUCUCGCACGAAUGAUCUGACGUUCAGUGUGCUUCACGCUGCCCCCGACAGCUUUCCACAUUCAUCACAGGUGCCCGCUUCGAGUCCCAAGGAACGUGCUGACAGUCUAAGGCUGGAACUCUGGCUCCAGGCUCUUCCCCACCCAUUCUGCUCGCGGGGCUCCUGGCCGCUCUGAAAUCCCAGAUGUCUAAUUAGCUCUGAGCACAGUCUAAAAGCAUUCGCACAUCCGUUCUGUGCAUAUGGUUUUUCUCCAGUGUGAAUUCUCUGACGUUGAAUGAGCUUUCCUUUCCCGCAGGCGCCCACAUUGACGGCAUUUGUAGCACUUCUGAAUGUGAAUUAGCCGAUGCCAUGUGAGGCGUCAGAAAGCUGACGGAUGCCUCCCUCAAACAAGGACUCUUUCCAAAAUGAAUGUUAGAAUGUUCUGGAGGACGGGAGCCCUGAGAAAAGUCGCCUCCAUUCAUAACAAAGAUGUUCCCUCUAAGAUGCAUAUUGUAAUGUUGAAUAAAUUCUGAAUUCUAAGAUUUG